AACGAACGCUGGCGGCAGGCUUAACACAUGCAAGUCGAGCGCCCCGCAAGGGGAGCGGCAGACGGGUGAGUAACGCGUGGGAAUCUACCCAUCUCUACGGAAUAACGCAUGGAAACGUGUGCUAAUACCGUAUACGUCCUUCGGGAGAAAGAUUUAUCGGAGAUGGAUGAGCCCGCGUUGGAUUAGCUAGUUGGUGGGGUAAAGGCCUACCAAGGCGACGAUCCAUAGCUGGUCUGAGAGGAUGAUCAGCCACGCUGGGACUGAGACACGGCCCAGACGCCUACGGGAGGCAGCAGUGGGGAAUAUUGGACAAUGGGCGCAAGCCUGAUCCAGCCAUGCCGCGUGAGUGAUGUAGGCCCUAGGGUUGUAAAGCUCUUUCACCGGUGAAGAUAAUGGCGGUAACCGGAGAAGAAGCCCCGGCUAACUUCGUGCCAGCCGCCGCAGUAACAC
rnacentral:rRNA from 1 species